CCAAGAAACGUCCGCGGACCGUUAGGAGGUGGGGGAUAGGUAAAUCCGCCCCCAUAAGCCGCCUGGCGGGACCGAUAGCAUUUAUGUUCUAGUAGUCAUCGGAAGGACCUCCAAGAAAAUCUUCUAAGCUUUGAAGCUUGAGUGACCGUACUAAAACUGACACAGGUAGGUGAGACGAGAAGUCUAAGGCGCUCGGGAGAACAGUGGUUAAGGAACUCUGCAAAUCGCCCCGUAAGUUCGCGAUAAGGGGUACCCUCGGGGGUGAAAGCUUCUGGGGGUCACAGUAAAUCGGCAUCAGCGACUGUUUAUCAAAAACACAGGACUCUGCUAACACGCAAGUGGAUGUAUAGAGUCUGACGCCUGCCCGGUGUUGGUAGGUUAAGGAAGAGGGUUAGAUCUUCGGAUCAAAGCUCGCGACCGAAGCCCCAAUAAACGGCGGCCGUAACUAUGACGGUCCUAAGGUAGCGAAGUUCCUUGUCGGGUAAGUUCCGACCUGCAUGAAUGGCGUAACGACUGAUGUACUGUCUCAACCACUGACCCGGUGAAAUUGUAGUCGUGGUGAAGAUGCCACGUUCCCGCAACUAGACGGAAAGACCCCAUGAACCUUCACUGUAGGCUGAUAUUGGGCUCGAGUAUGAACUGUGUAGGAUAGGUGGGAGGCGUUGAUCUGGGCGCGCCAGCGUUCAGGGAGCCAACCUUGAAAUACCACCCUGUGCAUGCUUAAGUUCUAACUCUGAUUCCCGUGAAUCCGGGCAGAGGACAUUUUCAGCUGGGCAGUUUGACUGGGGCGGUCUCCUCCAAAAGAGUAACGGAGGAGUCCAAAGGUACCCUCAGCCUGGUCGGCAAUCAGGCUUCGAGCGCAAAGGUAGAAGGGUGCUUAACUGUGAGACUCAUAAGUCGAACAGAUACGAAAGUAGGGCUUAGUGAUCCGGUGAUCCCGUGUGGAAGGGUCAUCGCUCAUCAGAUAAAAGGUACUCUGGGGAUAACAGGCUUAUCGCUUCCGAGCGUCCAUAGCGGCGAAGCGGUUUGGCACCUCGAUGUCGGCUCAUCACAUCCUGGGGGUGAAGGAGCUCCCAAGGGUUUGGCUGUUCGCCAAUGAAAGUGGUACGUGAGCUGGGUUCAGACCGUCGUGAGACAGGUCGGUCCCUAUCUGUUGUGGGCGUACGAAACUUGCGGAGGUUCUUCUUUAGUACGAGAGGAUUUAGAAGGACGUACCUCUGGUGUUCCAGUUGUCACGCUAGUGGCACGGCUGGGUAGCUAUGUACGGAAAGGAUAAACGCUGAAAGCAUAUAAGCGUGAAGCCCGCUCCAAGAUUAGGUUUCGUAGAGCAUUGCUCGAAAGUCCCCUGGAAGACUAUCAGGUUGAUAGGCCGGAUGUGUACGUGGAGUAAUCUACUUAGCUAACCGGUACUAACGGACGAUCGCUUGGCCAC
rnacentral:rRNA from 1 species